UCUAAUAUGGCAGAAAUAAAGUGCAAUGAAUUUAAGAUUCAUAAAUGAAGAAAUCUUCUAUUAGAU
rnacentral:tRNA from 1 species